rnacentral:rRNA from 1 species
AACGAACGCUGGCGGCAUGCCUAACACAUGCAAGUCGAACGAGACCUUCGGGUCUAGUAGCGCACGGGUGCGUAACGCGUGGGAACCUGCCCUUAGGUUCGGAAUAACUCCCCGAAAGGGGUGCUAAUACCGGAUAAUGUCUUCGGACCAAAGAUUUAUCGCCUUUGGAUGGGCCCGCGUUGGAUUAGCUAGUUGGUAGGGUAAAAGCCUACCAAGGCGACGAUCCAUAGCUGGCCUGAGAGGAUGAUCAGCCACACUGGGACUGAGACACGGCCCAGACUCCUACGGGAGGCAGCAGUGGGGAAUAUUGGACAAUGGGCGAAAGCCUGAUCCAGCAAUGCCGCGUGAGUGAUGAAGGCCUUAGGGUUGUAAAGCUCUUUUACCCGGGAUGAUAAUGACAGUACCGGGAGAAUAAGCUCCGGCUAACUCCGUG